CCACACAAGCAGGAUGACGCUGGCCGAUGACGUGACCCUGGAUGACUUGAUCAUGGCUAAAGAUGACCUCUCCGGGGCCGACAUCAAGGCAAUCUGUACAGAAGCCGGUCUGAUGGCCUUGAGAGAACGCAGGAUGAAAGUAACAAAUGAAGACUUU